rnacentral:rRNA from 1 species
UACGUAGGGUGCGAGCGUUAAUCGGAAUUACUGGGCGUAAAGCGUGCGCAGGCGGUUAUGUAAGACAGAUGUGAAAUCCCCGGGCUCAACCUGGGAACUGCAUUUGUGACUGCAUGGCUAGAGUACGGUAGAGGGGGAUGGAAUUCCGCGUGUAGCAGUGAAAUGCGUAGAUAUGCGGAGGAACACCGAUGGCGAAGGCAAUCCCCUGGACCUGUACUGACGCUCAUGCACGAAAGCGUGGGGAGCAAACAAGAUUAGAUACCCCAGUAGUCC